rnacentral:rRNA from 1 species
AAUAGAUACCCGGGUAGUCCACGCCGUAAACGAUGAGUGCUAAGUGUUAGGGGUUUCCGCCCCUUAGUGCUGCAGCUAACGCAUUAAGCACUCCGCCUGGGGAGUACGGUCGCAAGACUGAAACUCAAAGGAAUUGACGGGGGCCCGCACAAGCGGUGGAGCAUGUGGUUUAAUUCGAAGCAACGCGAAGAACCUUACCAGGUCUUGACAUCCCACUGACCGCUAUGGAGACAUAGUUUUCCCUUCGGGGUACAGUGGUGACAGGUGGUGCAUGGUUGUCGUCAGCUCGUGUCGUGAGAUGUUGGGUUAAGUCCCGCAACGAGCGCAACCCUUGAUCUUAGUUGCCAUCAUUUAGUUGGGCACUCUAAGGUGACUGCCGGUGACAAACCGGAGGAAGGUGGGGAUGACGUCAAAUCAUCAUGCCCCUUAUGACCUGGGCUACACACGUGCUACAAUGGACGGUACAAACGGUUGCCAACCCGCGAGGGGAGCUAAUCCGAUAAAACCGUUCUCAGUUCGGAUUGUAGGCUGCAACUCGCCUAC